AUGAACGCUGGCGGCGUGCCUAAUACAUGCAAGUCGAGCGAACAGACGAGGAGCUUGCUCCUCUGACGUUAGCGGCGGACGGGUGAGUAACACGUGGAUAACCUACCUAUAAGACUGGGAUAACUUCGGGAAACCGGAGCUAAUACCGGAUAAUAUAUUGAACCGCAUGGUUCAAUAGUGAAAGACGGUUUUGCUGUCACUUAUAGAUGGAUCCGCGCCGCAUUAGCUAGUUGGUAAGGUAACGGCUUACCAAGGCAACGAUGCGUAGCCGACCUGAGAGGGUGAUCGGCCACACUGGAACUGAGACACGGUCCAGACUCCUACGGGAGGCAGCAGUAGGGAAUCUUCCGCAAUGGGCGAAAGCUUGACGGAGCAACGCCGCGUGAGUGAUGAAGGUCUUCGGAUCGUAGAACUCUGUUAUUAGGGAAGAACAAAUGUGUAAGUAACUAUGCACGUCUUGACGGUACCUAAUCAGAAAGCCACGGCUAACUACGUG
rnacentral:rRNA from 1 species